GAUAAACGCUGGCGGCGUGCCUAAUACAUGCAAGUCGAGCGAACGGACGAGAAGCUUGCUUCUCUGAUGUUAGCGGCGGACGGGUGAGUAACACGUGGAUAACCUACCUAUAAGACUGGGAUAACUUCGGGAAACCGGAGCUAAUACCGGAUGAUAUUUUGAACCGCAUGGUUCAAAAGUGAAAGACGGUCUUGCUGUCACUUAUAGAUGGAUCCGCGCUGCAUUAGCUAGUUGGUAAGGUAACGGCUUACCAAGGCAACGAUGCAUAGCCGACCUGAGAGGGUGAUCGGCCACACUGGAACUGAGACACGGUCCAGACUCCUACGGGAGGCAGCAGUAGGGAAUCUUCCGCAAAGGGCGAAAGCCUGACGGAGCAACGCCGCGUGAGUGAUGAAGGUCUUCGGAUCGUAAAACUCUGUUAUUAGGGAAGAACAUAUGUGUAAGUAACUGUGCACAUCUUGACGGUACCUAAUCAGAAAGCCACGGCUAACUACGUG
rnacentral:rRNA from 1 species